rnacentral:rRNA from 1 species
GUGCCAGCCGCCGCGGUAAAACGUAGGAGUCUAGCGUUAUCCGAAUUUACUGGGCGUAAAGCGCGUGUAGGCGGUUCGGUAAGUUGGAUGUGAAAGCUCCUGGCUCAACUGGGAGAGGUCGUUCAAUACUGUCGGACUCGAGGAUGGUAGAGGGAGGUGGAAUUCCCGGUGUAGUGGUGAAAUGCGUAGAUAUCGGGAGGAACACCAGUGGCGAAAGCGGCCUCCUGGACCAUUCCUGACGCUCAGACGCGAAAGCUAGGGGAGCGAACGGGAUUAGAAACCCUCGUAGUCC